AAAACUUGGCACAAAAAAAAGAAUACCCCAUGCUUUUUGUGUUACUCAAGUAGACAAACCUACUCCAUCUUUCAUUCACAAAGAGACUCAUUCAAUGAGAGAAAAUUUGCUGAAUCUUUAUGAAAGUGAUUGAGUUGAGCAAUUGUGAAUCUAAUGUUUUACCAGCUGCAACACUAGACUUUGAAAUAGAGAAAUGUAACAGUUCAAUAUCAAAAUAUUCCCGAUCCAAAAGUAUAUUGAUAGAUUCUGCCUCUGUUCAAAACAAAUUAUCACCUGUUCAAACAAAUAAUCAUAUAUUAU
rnacentral:lncRNA from 1 species